rnacentral:rRNA from 1 species
AUACGGAGGAUGCAAGCGUUAUCCGGAUUUAUUGGGUUUAAAGGGUGCGUAGGCGGUUUGCUAAGCGGGAGGUGAAAUGCCGGCGCUCAACGUCGGAAGUGCCCCCCGAACUGGUGGACUUGAAUGACUCUGCCGUGGGAGGAAUGUGUAGUGUAGCGGUGAAAUGCUUAGAGAUUACACAGAACACCGAUUGCGAAGGCAUCUCACGAAGGGUUGAUUGACGCUGAGGCACGAAAGCGUGGGGAUCAAACAGGAUUAGAUACCCUGGUAGUCCACGCAGUAAACGAUGAUGGCUAACCGCUGGGCUUAUCAGUUCAGUGGCCAAGCGAAAGCGAUAAGCCAUCCACCUGGGGAGUACGACCGCAAGGUUGAAACUCAAAGGAAUUGACGGGG